rnacentral:lncRNA from 1 species
UUCUUGGUCCUCAUUCGAUUCUCCCAAUCAAAACAUUGUUCUUGUUAGUUUUCUUCUUGCGACUGAGUUCCAGUGUGGCAGCUGCAUUUUGAUCAUUUCACCAUCAUGACAUUGGACGGUUCGAGCUUGUUUUCGUGAUUACUUUGUCUGUUCGAGCCUUCUUCCAGUGUGGUUGUCGUUCUCUGGAGCUUUCUUCCGUCUCUGGAGCUUGUUUUCGUGAUUACUUUCGCUGUCCAUCGCGCUUUAGUUCUUCGUCCUCUCACUGUCUGGAGUUGUUUCCUUCAUUAAACACUUUUCUUGGGCGCAAGUGUUGAGUUCGGUUCGGUGCUGAAAGAGUACCUUCAACUGGUAAGUAAACCCUAAAGCU